UACGUAGGGGGCAAGCGUUGUCCGGAUUUAUUGGGCGUAAAGAGCGUGUAGGCGGUCAGAUAGGUCCGUUGUGAAAACUCGAGGCUCAACCUCGAGACGCCGAUGGAAACCAUCUGACUAGAGUCCGGAAGAGGAGAGUGGAAUUCCUGGUGUAGCGGUGAAAUGCGCAGAUAUCAGGAAGAACACCCGUGGCUAAGGCGGCUCUCUGGGACGGUACUGACGCUGAGACGCGAAAGCGUGGGGAGCGAACAGG
rnacentral:rRNA from 1 species